GAGAUUUUUGUGGGAGAAUUUAGAUAAAUCUGCCGGUAACUCGGCCCAGUAACAUGGUUCCCUGAUUCCCUUCCAUAUCGGCCUCUGUGCAUCCCAUGUUUGUAUCCCCGCGCCACUUUUCCCAGUGAAUCUGAUCUAUUUUCCUCUCUUAAUCAGGUUCCGUCGGUUGGUUUGGGCGACACCAUCUGCCCAGAGCCACCGACCCCUGGUACCAACAUCUGCCAGGAGGAGCCAGUGCAGAUCCCUGAGCCUGGCGAGGAGAUUGAGGAGCGCCCAGAAACACCCGGG